GACGAACGCUGGCGGCGUGCCUAAUACAUGCAAGUAGAACGCUGAAGAGAGGAGCUUGCUCUUCUUGGAUGAGUUGCGAACGGGUGAGUAACGCGUAGGUAACCUGCCUUUUAGCGGGGGAUAACUAUUGGAAACGAUAGCUAAUACCGCAUAACAAUGGAUGACACAUGUCAUUUAUUUGAAAGGGGCAAUUGUUCCACUACAAGAUGGACCUGCGUUGUAUUAGCUAGUAGGUGAGGUAAUGGCUCACCUAGGCGACGAUACAUAGCCGACCUGAGAGGGUGAUCGGCCACACUGGGACUGAGACACGGCCCAGACUCCUACGGGAGGCAGCAGUAGGGAAUCUUCGGCAAUGGGGGCAACCCUGACCGAGCAACGCCGCGUGAGUGAAGGAGGUUUUCGGAUCGUAAAGCUCUGUUGUAAGUCAAGAACGGGUGUGAGAGUGGAAAGUUCACACUGUGACGGUAGCUUACCAGAAAGAGACGGCUAACUACGUG
rnacentral:rRNA from 1 species